AAAGUAGGAGUUUGAUCCUGGCUCAGAGUGAACGUUGGUGGUACACAUAACACAUGCAAGUCGAACGAAAUAUGUAAAAGUAUUUAGUGGCGUACGGGUGAGUAAUAAAUAGGUGACUUACUCCAUGAACAAUGAUAAUUGAAAUAACUUUCUUGUAAACAUUGAUAAUCUAACAUAUCAUAAGUAUUUGUUAGCAAAGUAAUUAGAUUAGUCAUGGAAUAGGCUUAUUCUAGAUUAGAUAGUUGGUUGGGUAAUGGCUUACCAAGUCUAUGAUCUAUAGCUAUCCUUAAAGGGUGAUCAGCCACACUAGAAUUGAAAUAAGGUCUAGUUUCCUACGGGAAGCAGCAGUGAGGAAUAUUGGGCAAUGAGGGAAACCUUGACCCAGUGAUACCACGUGAGUGAUGAAGGCAUUAACUUGUUGUAAAACUCUUUUAUAGUUUAAGAAGUUGACUAAACUAUGAAUAAGUGCCGGCAAAUUUUGUGCCAGCAACCGCGGUGAGACAAAAGGCACGAACGUUACUCGGUUUUAAUGGGUUUAAAGGGUGUGUAGGUUUUUUUAUAAGUCAAAUUUAUGGAUACGGCAUAACUGUGGAUAUGGGUUUGAUACUGUAUUAAUUGAGAUUGAUGGAAGUUAAUGGAAUUUCUAGUGUAAAGGUGAAAUUUGUAGAUACUAGAAGGAACACCAGGGGCGAAGGCGAUUAACUAUUUUAAUCUGACACUGAGACACGAAAGCGUGGGGAGUAAAAAGGAUUAGAGACCCUUGUAAUCCACGCUGUAAAAGAUGAGUAUUUGAUAUUGUUAAACUUAGUGUUUAGCUAAUGUCUAAGCAAAAGCAAUAAAUACUCCACCUGAGUAGUACGAUCGCAAGAUUGAAACUCAAAGGAAUUGACGGGAACUCGCACAAGUGGUGGAACAUGUGAUUUAAUACGAUGGCCCUCGAAUAAUCUUACCAACCCUUGACAUUUUUUUGAUAGUGUAAGCAAUUACAUCUUCUAUGAAUAAUAGACAAUUAAACAGGUGUUGCAUGGCCGUUUUCAGUUCGUGUCGUGAGACGUAUGAUUCAGUUCUUUAACGAACGCAACCCCUAAUCCUUGUUGCUAAUCUAUUUUUAGAUGCACUCUAGGAUUGUACGUAUUUAUGUUUAGCAUGAAUAUGAUAAUUGGGAUAACAACAGGUCUUCAUGGCCCUUAUGGGUUGGGCUAUACACGUGUUACAAUGGUAGAUACAAUAAGAAACGAUAAGGCGACUUUGAGUAAAACUAUAAAAUCUAUCCCAGUCCAGAUUGCUUUCUGUAACUCGAAAGCAUGAAGAAGGAAUCACUAGUAAUCGCGAAUCAUCAAUGUCGCGGUGAAUACGUUAUUGAGUUCUGUACACACUGCCCAUCAGGCUAUGGGAGGUGCUUUUAUUUGAUGAUAAUUAUCGAUUAUUUAAAAUGAAUGCAGCGACACUAGUCAAGUUGUAACAAGGUAAGUGUAGGUGAACCUGCGCUUUUGACAUUAUAAAU
rnacentral:rRNA from 2 species